ACGUAGGGUGCAAGCGUUGUUCGGAAUCACUGGGCGUAAAGAGAGCGUAGGCGGGAUUGUAAGUUAGAAGUUUAAUACAAGGGCUUAACCCUUGGCCGGCUUUUAAUACUGCAGUUCUUGAAUGUGGGAGAGGGCAAUGGAAUUCCAGGUGUAGCGGUGGAAUGCGUAGAUAUCUGGAAGAACACCAGUAGCGAAGGCGGUCGCCUGGCCCAAUACUGACGCUGAUACUCGAAAGCUAGGGGAGCAAACA
rnacentral:rRNA from 1 species